rnacentral:rRNA from 1 species
CCUACGGGUGGCUGCAGUCGAGGAUCUUUCGCAAUGGGCGUAAGCCUGACGGAGCGACACUGUGUGAGUGAUGAAGGCCUUCGGGUUGUAAAACUCUUUUAUUUGGGAACAAGAAAGGUUAGUGAAUAACUAGCCAAUUUGAGGGUACCAGAAGAAAAAGUACCGGCUAACUACGUGCCAGCAGCUGCGGUAAUACGUAGGGUACGAGCAUUAAUCGGAAUUAUUGGGCGUAAAGGGCGCGUAGGCGGAAGUGUAAGUCAGGUGUGAAAUACCAA